ACGAACGCUGGCGGCGUGCCUAAUACAUGCAAGUCGAACGAAACUUUCUUACACCGAAUGCUUGCAUUCACCGUAAGAAGUUGAGUGGCGGACGGGUGAGUAACACGUGGGUAACCUGCCUAAAAGAAGGGGAUAACACUUGGAAACAGGUGCUAAUACCGUAUAUCUCUAAGGAUCGCAUGAUCCUUAGAUGAAAGAUGGUUCUGCUAUCGCUUUUAGAUGGACCCGCGGCGUAUUAACUAGUUGGUGGGGUAACGGCCUACCAAGGUGAUGAUACGUAGCCGAACUGAGAGGUUGAUCGGCCACAUUGGGACUGAGACACGGCCCAAACUCCUACGGGAGGCAGCAGUAGGGAAUCUUCCACAAUGGACGCAAGUCUGAUGGAGCAACGCCGCGUGAGUGAAGAAGGUCUUCGGAUCGUAAAACUCUGUUGUUAGAGAAGAACACGAGUGAGAGUAACUGUUCAUUCGAUGACGGUAUCUAACCAGCAAGUCACGGCUAACUACGUGCCAGCAGCCGCGGUAAUACGUAGGUGGCAAGCGUUGUCCGGAUUUAUUGGGCGUAAAGGGAACGCAGGCGGUCUUUUAAGUCUGAUGUGAAAGCCUUCGGCUUAACCGGAGUAGUGCAUUGGAAACUGGAAGACUUGAGUGCAGAAGAGGAGAGUGGAACUCCAUGUGUAGCGGUGAAAUGCGUAGAUAUAUGGAAGAACACCAGUGGCGAAAGCGGCUCUCUGGUCUGUAACUGACGCUGAGGUUCGAAAGCGUGGGUAGCAAACAGGAUUAGAUACCCUGGUAGUCCACGCCGUAAACGAUGAAUGCUAGGUGUUGGAGGGUUUCCGCCCUUCAGUGCCGCAGCUAACGCAAUAAGCAUUCCGCCUGGGGAGUACGACCGCAAGGUUGAAACUCAAAGGAAUUGACGGGGGCCCGCACAAGCGGUGGAGCAUGUGGUUUAAUUCGAAGCAACGCGAAGAACCUUACCAGGGCUUGACAUAUACAGGAAUACUUAAGAGAUUAAGUAGCUCUUCGGAGUCUGUAUACAGGUGGUGCAUGGUUGUCGUCAGCUCGUGUCGUGAGAUGUUGGGUUAAGUCCCGCAACGAGCGCAACCCUUGUUGUCAGUUGCCAGCAUUAAGUUGGGCACUCUGGCGAGACUGCCGGUGACAAACCGGAGGAAGGUGGGGACGACGUCAAGUCAUCAUGCCCCUUAUGACCUGGGCUACACACGUGCUACAAUGGACGGUACAACGAGUCGCGAGACCGCGAGGUUUAGCUAAUCUCUUAAAGCCGUUCUCAGUUCGGAUUGUAGGCUGCAACUCGCCUACAUGAAGUCGGAAUCGCUAGUAAUCGCGAAUCAGCAUGUCGCGGUGAAUACGUUCCCGGGCCUUGUACACACCGCCCGUCACACCAUGAGAGUUUGUAACACCCAAAGCCGGUGGGGUAACCGCAAGGAGCCAGCCGUCUAAGGUGGGACAGAUGAUUGGGGUG
rnacentral:rRNA from 1 species